AAAGCGAGCAGUGAAAGAUCCCGGCUCAACCGGGGCACAUUGUUCGAACUUAUAAGCUAGAGCAUAGUAGAGGUACCUGGAAUUUCUAGUGUAGGAGUGAAAUCCGUAGAUAUUAGAAGGAACACCGAUGGCGUAGGCAGGGUACUGGGCUAUUGCUGACACUAAGGCACGAAAGCGUGGGGAGCGAACGGGAUUAGAUACCCCGGUAGUCCACGCCGUAAACUAUGGAUGCUA
rnacentral:rRNA from 1 species